rnacentral:lncRNA from 1 species
UUGAGGACACCCCUAUCCAUCCUUAUCUUCUCAGCGGGUCUCCAUCCAUCCGCAUCUCUUCCCCCAUCAGAUUGAGGCCACCAGAGCUCCAGUGCCUCUCCAGCAGGCCCUCCUUUCUCCUUCUCCCUCUCUUACAUCUCAUUUUUUCUCUUGGCCAUGAGCAGGAGCAUGCAGUGAGCCUCGUCGCCACUUCACGGAUAUGUAACGUUUCUUUUGCUCCCUCUUCCGACUUACGGGAUUAAUUUUUCAUGUAGCAAGACGGCUGAUGUAUAAAAGUUGAUGGGAUUGGAUGAAUAUGAGCGAUGUGGGACUAUUAUUCUUAAUACAUGAAGUGCGAUCUUGCUUAGUUGGUUGUGACAUUAAAUAUUGCGGGACGCACUCUCCCUGGCCUCUCCCUGGUCGUUGACCACGCUCAAACCCGUGCCCGCUCGAAGCUGAGCCGCCAGCGCUGGCAGCCUUGGGAGUGAGCGCAGCGGCGCGACGUCGCAGCCUGGCAUGCGGGUGGGCAGUGCCGGUCCUCCACGCACGCCGGCAGUCACCUCCAGGCACGGAGAGCUGCUGUCGUAGGGCGAGGUGGUGGCGCAGCGACCUGUUGUUGCAGGUGUUGGAAACGAUUGUUUGGCAAUGCUUCACAAUAUAUUGAUCGGUGCAUAGCACACGUAUAUAUAGAGUAUAAAGUGGGCCUCAACCUCAACUAUACAAAGGAUAGGAGGUGGGCCGGGCCAUACAAUAUACAUGCACAAAUCAUAUAUUCAACACCCCCCGUAGUCGAAGCGUCGCUGGAGACGCAAAGACUGGACCUAAACUCCUCAAAGACAGAAGUAGGCAGUCCUUAUGUCAUGACAUCGGCGAACUGUUGCGCUGUCGGAACGUGGAGAACCCGGAUGCGCCCAAGAGCCACCUGCUCGCGAACAAAGUGUAUGUCGAGCUCAAUAUGCUUUGUUCGACGAUGGUGAACAGGGUUGGCGGAGAGGUACACAGCAGAGACGUUAUCGCAGUAGACCAGUGUCGCCUUGUGGACAUCACAAAGCAACUCCUGAAGCAGCUGACGAAGCCAAGAGCAUUCAGCAACGGCGUUAGCCAUUGCCCGAUGCUCUGCCUCGGCACUCGAGUGGGAGACGGUGGGCUGUCGCUUGGAAGACCAAGAGAUCAGAGACGGUCCAAGGUAGACACAGUACCCCGAAGUGGAGCNNNNNNNNNNNNNNNNNNNNNNNNNNNNNNNUCGUGUGUCCGGGCAGCCAGUCCAGUCCGCAUCAGAGUAGGCGACUAGGUCGGUGGAGGCGGAGGUUGUCACCGUCAAUCCAAUGGACUGGGUGCCGCGUAUGUAACGAAGGAUAUGCUUCACCAGGUCCAGUGAGAAUCACGCGGAGCAUGCAUGUGAAGACAAACCUGCUGAANNNNNNNNNNNNNNNNNNNNNUGCUGAACAACAUACUGCAAGUCAGGGCGCGUCAGGGUCAGGUACUUCAAGGCACCCACAAUGGAGUGGUAGAAGGCCGCAUCGGAUGCGAGAGAACCCUCCAUAGCGGAAACCUUGGUGUCGACGGGCGUGGGAGCAGUCUUGCAGUUAAGCAUGCCUGCUCGAUCGAGAAGCUCAUGGGCGUCACGCUGCUGGUGCAGGAAAAACCCAUCGGACCAUCGAACCACCUCAAUGCCAAGGAAGUAGUGUAGGGCCCCAAGUCCUUCAGGGCAAACUUAGCGUGAAGCCGAGCAGUGAGCCGCUGGAGGAGCGCGACAGUGGAUGCCGUCAGGAUGAUGUCGUCGACGUAUAGGAGCAAGUAGGUUGUGUCAACUCCGUGAUGAUACACGAAGAGGGACGCACCGGAGCAAGUCGAUCUAAAUCCAAGCGUCUGCAGGNNNNNNNNNNNNNNGAAUGCAGCGAUGUGCUGGUACCAGGCCCGAGGCGCCUGCUUCAACCCGUAGAGGGAAUGGGAUAGGAGGCACACAUGGUAUGGAUGCAUGGCAUCGACGAAGCCGGUGGGCUGCUCACAGAACACCUGCUCAGUGAGGUGACCAUGCAAGAACGCGUUAGAAACAUCCAACUGAUGCACAUGCCAGGCUCAGGAGACGGCAAGCUGAAGCACGGUGCGGAUCAUGCCCGGUUUGACAACCGGGGCAAAGGUGUCAGUGAAGUCCACGCCCGCACGCUGCCGAAAACCUCGAACCACCCAGCUAGCUUUAUAGCGCUCGAGAGUGCCAUCCGGACGAGUCUUGUGCCGAAAGACCCACUGGCCCGUGAUGAUGUUAGCACGAGGCGGCCGAGGUACAAGCUGCCAGGUGCCGUUCCGCUGGAGUGCGUCGAACUCGUCCUGCAUCGCAGCGAGCCAAUGAGGGUCCCGAAGGGCGGCUUGAGUUGACAACGGGAGAGGGGACGACGCAUAGGCAGAAGAAGCGAGAAGAUACUCGUCGCUGGUGUACCGCAUGCUCAGACGGAAGGUGCCAGCCUGAGAGCGAGUCAUCGGGCGGGGCAGCGAGUCCGGAGCGACGACGGGUGACGAAGACGAGGAGCCCGUGGUAGACGACGAGUGGGGCGCAAUCGCCUCCGUGGAGGCCGACGGUGACGCGGCCGCCGAGGUGGCCGACGGUGUGGUUGGGUCCGGGGAGACCGACUACGGCGUGGCCGCCGGAGGUACCAGCGGCGUAGUCGAAGCCGGGGACGUUGAAGGCGUCGCGGGCGCCGAUUGAGGUGCGGCCCCUAAGGCAGCCAAGCGGGGAGGAACUCGACCCGUGGCGCGGGGGGCACUCUCAACGGCGGGAGGCGGCCCAAGAGCAAGUGGGCGGCCGUCACCGGGAGCGGGCAAGGCUGCAACAUCCGUAGGUACCUGCUGAAAAUGAAAAACCAUCUCGUCAAAGUAAACGUGUCGAGAAGUGAUGACCCGAUGCGAGAGGGGAUCGUAGCAGCGGUAGCCUUUGGUGUUGGCGGGAUAGCCAAGAAAGAUGCAGGCCACGGACCGCAGUGCGAUCUUAUGAGGAGUAGUGGAAGAGGUGCUCGGGUAGCACAGGCAACCGAAGAUGCGAAGCUCAGCAUAGGAAGGUGGUGUGCCGAAUAAAAGGUGAUGAGGAGUAAAGUUGCCACGAGGGCGACAGGGGCGAAUGUUGAUGAGAAGUGAUUUGGUGGCAAGCGCGUCAGGCCAGAAACAUGGUGGCACAUUGGCGUGAAAAAGAAGGGUGCGGACGCAAUCGUUAAGAGUGCGAAGCACGCGUUCAGCGCGGCCAUUUUGUUGCGAAGUGUACGGGCAAGUGAGAUGAAAAAUCGUGUCGUGGGUGGCGAGAAGGUUGUGAAUCGCAAGGUUGUCAAACUCCUUCCCGUUAUCUGUUUGCAACGCAUGAAUGGACGUCCAAACAGCAUGGAGACAUAUGAGUUGAAUGCGGUGAGGGUGGUAAUAGCAUCCGACUUUCGUCGCAACGAGAAGGUCCACACAUAGUGCGAAAAAUCGUGAAGGAUGACAAGAUAAUAAAGAUAGCCCGUGUUACUUGCAACAGGAGAGGUCCAGACAUCACUAUGAAUUAACUCAAACGGGUAUGAGGCAACAUGCGAGGAAGUGCUAAAAGGAAGACGAAGAUGUUUGCCGAGACGACAAGCAUGACAAGUGUGAUCGUGUUCUUAUUACACGUGAAUGAAAAACUUCGAAGAAUAUGACGAAGGGUGGUGGUGUUGGGAUGACUGAGACGCAUAUGCCAAAGGUCCACUUCGACGGAAAGCGCCAUGGGAGCGGCGACGGAGGAAGUGGGCGAGUGGACCGGGUAGAGCUCGUCGGGGCUGUGACAGCGGUAGAGUACCAUCUGGGUACGGGCAUCCUUGACAGAAAGAAGAAACAUGUCAAAUUCAACGGUGACAGGAUUGUGACGUGUAAGACAACGAACGGAAACAAGUUUUUUAAUGAUGUCAGGAGAAACUAGGACAUUAGAAAGGUGUAAUGGUGUGGAGUUAGAGGGAAAAGCAGCAUGACCGACAUGAGUAAUAGGCAUGGAGGAACCGUCACCGAUAGUAAUGCGAGCGGUUGUGUGAACUGGAUGAGCGGUAAGAAGGUUACCGGGGUUGGCGGCCAUGUGAGCCGUGGCUCCGGUAUCCAUGUACCAAUCACCACCGCCAGGGUACUGCUCCGGCGUUGGAGCGGUGUGGAGUGCCGCUAGAAGUGCGGGAUCCCACGGGGCUGGUGGGAGAGCCGGGGCCGACGACAGCGGUUGAGGUGGUGGCGCCACGAACCCGCCGGCGCUGUAGUGUGUCGCGGGCGUGUACGGCUGAGGGGUCGGACGAGCACCAAAGAAACCGGGGAUGGGGGCGCGCGCAACAGGCAUGGAGUACGCGUGAACAACCCAUGUCCAGGGGUUCUGGCUAGCCUGCGAGGGCGCCGCCUGGUGCGACGGCUGCUGGUGACGUGGCGGCCCGCCUUGGGCGGCCGGUUGUUGCUGUUGUUUGCAGCCACCGCGGCCACCGCGGUGCUGUGGCUGCUCGGCGGUAGGUUGCAGGGGGGUCGGCGGCAGCGGCGGGUGGGGGAACCCGGGCGGCGGCUGCGCCUGGAAGGGCCCCGAGGCGGCCGCGGCGGUGGGGCCGGGGCAACGGGUGGCGCGGCACCGCGGGUACCUGCGGUGAGGGCCGUGUGGGUGGCCCAGCUGCGCGACAUCCGCAUCCGCCUCUCCUCUAGCUUGAGGUACGCGACGAUCUUCGGGAAGGUCGGGUUGGUGAUGAGAGGGAUGUUGGAGGCGGCGUUACCAAAGUCGCCGUUCAGCCCGGCGAUAAGGGUGCUGAGAAGAAGCUCGUCGGAGACCGUCUCACCGUGGUCACGUAGCUUGUCGACAAGUUUCUUUAGGCGCAUGCAAAAAUAGUCAACAGACGAGUCGAGCUGCUGGCACCCAAAGAACUCGCCGUGCAGGAAAACCUUGCGUUAGAGCGCGUUAUCAGUGAAGAGGCCGUUGAGCUUGGUCCAAACGGCUUGAGCGUCAUCGUCGGCGGAGACCACCGUGUGGAAGAGAUCCUUCGAGAUGGUGGUGUAGAACCAACGGAUUAGAGUAGCGUCGAUGGACAUCCACUCCGCAUCGUCCUCCAUGAAGCGGAAAUCCACGGAGCCAUCGAUGUGAUCCCGGAGUGUGUACUCGCGAAACACAAGGGAGAAGUACGUCUUCCAGGCAUAGUAGGUGUAUUUGAGAUGAUCGAGAACGACAGGAACCCGAGCGAGGAUUUUGAGAUCGCGGAUGACAACGGGUCGGGGUCGUCGAACGGGUUGCUGUGGCGGCUGCGGGUGGUGCCGGAGGUGGCGGGGGAGGCCAUGGGCCGAUAGGGGGGCGGCGGAGUGGGGUGACGCGACCUAGGUGGUGCGACGCGACUGAGAGCGGCGCGGCGGGAGGUGGGCGAAAGCGUGGGCGACGGCGGCGGCGGGUGGGCGACGGCUAGGGAUAGACGGCGGCUCACGAGAGCGGCGACGUGGAGGCGUAUUGACGCGGCGGCUUGGGGUGGCGGCGGGUGAGCCGGCGGCGGCAGCGGUGAUGAGAUCGAGGCGACGGCGGCGGCUAGGGUUAGGUUAGGAUCGUAGGUAUGAUACCAUGUUGGAAACAAUUGUUUGGCAAUGUUUCACAAUAUAUUGAUCGGUUCAUAGCACACGUGUAUAUAGAGUAUAAAGUGGGCCUCAACCUCAACUAUACAAAGGCUAGGAGGUGGGCCGGGUCAUACAAUAUACAUGAACAAAUCAUAUAUUCAACAGCAGGGAGAUGUCGGGGGGGGCGACUGCUGCAGGGCGAGGCGGGGCCGACCAGGCGUGGCGCGUGUGGGGGCACGGGUGGAUCCGUUCAAUGCAAGCUCGAGCCGUCGCUGUCGUUCUGCAGAUCGCAGGUUGAAUAGACGAAAACACAGGGACUAGUUUAUAAAUUCAAAACGUUUUUCUGACUUACUAUUACUAAAACCUAUAGUGCGGGUUGAUUACAAGGAACUAUAAGGGGUUGUCUGUAAAUAUGCGGAAAAAACGGUUCAACCUGACUUACAGAAGGACUGCGGGUUGAAUACAUAAAAUCACAAAGGCUUUUAUGCAAAACUGCCGCGACGGACGACAAAAGCAAUAGUUGCUUUAUUAUUAGAAAGAGAUUAUAUUAUAUUAUUAUUAUUAUUACUAUUAUUAUUAUUAUUAUUAGUCAGAGUUAGAGAUUUAUAAGCACCAAUAUAUUCUUGGUUGAGUUCCCAAGUAUUGAUCCUUUUGGUAAGAUACCGAACAAGGUGAACAUCACUUGCCCAAACAAGUUGAACGUCAUGCUACAUCCUACAUUAUUGCAAAUCUGUUACCAGGACUUUGUUUCAAUUGCUUAUUCGUAGAGCACACGCGAAGACAUCCUUCGUUGAAUCCACAUAUAUCUUCAGUUUUUUAUUUGGUUUUGAAAUUUCAGAAGCUCUAUGGCACAUCUAGUUGUGUAUACGCUCCACACACUGACACACAGUUGAUUUUGUUAAAACUAAUUAUGUAAUUAGGGGAAAAUCUCCCCUUAACCAACCGUCAAGCGGUUUCCUCCCGCAACGACGGUUCUCUCUCCGUCUCUCCUGAAACCGACGCAUCCCUUCCGAUUGCGUCUCCUCCCGUUGUAUAAAAGGGCAGAUCUCUGUCAUCAUUGAAUAAGAAUCUCAUUUUCUUCAAACACGUUAUCAGCACUUGUCUACCAGAAAAGGAGCGAAUAGAGAAACAGAGAAGGGAAGAAAGACUCGCCGCUGGUGAGAUGUCGCCCCUGACUACUUUCUUCCUUCGUCUCGUCAAGGAGGACAACCGCCGGAACCGCCUCGUUGCCCGUCGCCCCCGUACCCUCGCUGGACGCGGCCUGAACGCUGGAAGCGGCCGGAACGCCACUGCACGUGGCCAAGGGUGCCACUGGACGCGGUCAGAAUGCCGCCGGUAGCUUCGCACGGGGCGGUUACCGCGCCCCCAGGCAUGCGGGUGGCCAGCGCGCCACAGAGGACGCCGCCCAGGGCGCACCCGUCGGCCUUGGCGCCACCGCGCCUCCUACCAACGACCUCAACCCAUGGCUGCUCGCCGGACACGCCGCGCCGAUGGUGCACGCGGACCCGCCGAUGGUGCACGCGGACCCGCCGAUGGUGCACGCGGACCCGCCUCCGCCCCCUCCUCCGCCAGCGCACUAGCUGCCUCCGCACACGCCAACGCCCGCCGUCGAGGAUGCCGGCCCAAGUCGAUGCCCGCCCGGCUACUUACCUGUGCCGAUGCGCACUGACGUGACCGCGGAGGAGGCGCUCGGCUUCGUCUCAGCGCCCACCGGUGCCUCCGGUGUCGUCCGCCUCGGAGCAGGAANNNNNNNNNNNNNNNGCAGGAAUGGAGGGCGUCGUGGCCAAUGCCCCACCACCGAGGAGAUGAACGCGGGCCCGAGCAGCCGCGCGGAGCGGCGCUUCGGCCGCCUCUUUGGGCGCGCCGUCGCUGCCCUCGACCGCCAGGCCGGCCGCCGCGCCGGCUCGUGGGCUCCGGCGAGCCUUGGCCUUGGCUUUGGCGCCACUCGCCUGGACCCCGUCGCCGUUGCGUCUUCUUCUGACGAAGAGGGCCCCCCCGUGGGGCGCCGGUGAUUACCGGUGCAGUGACGGGAGGAGGGGCUCUCGGUCCUGGUGCCGCCGCUGCCUGGUUUCUACGGUUUGCUGGCGAGGUGGGAAAGAAGAUGCGAGAUGAAGAACGAGAGGUGGUGCUACGGCUGGUCACUGCCUUAUCAUCUCGAUUCCUUCUCCUUCUUUUAUUCUAUGGUGGUGAUGUCCGUGUAAUGGCUACAGCCUGGCGCAUUCAUUGCUACGCUGGCUUCACGCCAUGCAGACCCAAGCCGAAUUGGCUGGUAGUGUUUGUCUGUUUAAGUACUACUAGUACUAGUUUCGUAUUUAUGUAUGAGCAGACCAUAUCUAGUAUUAGUUAGUACUAAUUAUUGUACAUAGUAUAGUUUUAGACUAUGUUUAAUAUUACUAUUUUAGUACUACUAUUUACACUUAGUCUAGUUCUAGAUUUACUCUAGUUUAAGAUUUGUGUAAUUAUAAGUGUGUUUAUAUUAUGCAAUGGAUUGAUGAUAUAAAUAAAGUACCGGAUUUCAUCUGGGAAGAAUGACAUGUUCUAUGUGUUUACCACAUAUUCAGUUCGCUAGAACAUGUGCUUGCGAUUGAAAUCAUCUUCUCUCGCAUCUCAAACUUGCAAAUUUUUGAAUAUUUCUCCCUCGUCUUAUUUGGAAUCACAAGGUAAUGAGUUGUGAUCUACUGCACAUGUGCAGACUAUCCCCUCUUACUGUAAGGUCUACGCUUUGUCAAUCUUGACAUGCGAUUACCUUCAAUGUGUAUUCCUUUAUAUCUAAAUUGUAGCAUACACAAGGUAAUGGACAUGCAGCCUAUUACUGUGAGAUCUAAGUGAUCUUCAAUGUGUUAUGUUCACACAAUUGAGGUUGAGAAUUUUUCAAGUUUUACACUUGACUAUCAAAUUUUUGCAUUCUUAUUACACAACCAUGAUGGUUUUUAGUUUACCACCCGUAAAUUGAUUAUCUCUGGUUCCUCAUGUAGGCCAAGAUGACUGCCAAAGAAUUUGAGGAGCUUGCCCUCAAUGGCCACAAUUACCCUACAUGGGCUAUGGACAUUAAGAUCAGUCUUGCGUCCCGUGGGAUAGCGCGUGCAAUCCAGCCCCCGGAGACUCCUCUCCCGGCUGGAGCCACGCCGCUGACAGAACAGCAGAAUUAUGCUGCCUUAUUCACCAUAAGGCACCAUAUUCAUCCAGAUCUCAAGUCUCAGUAUUUACAGGAGGAAUCUCCUAGUACUCUGUUUCUGGCCCUCAAAACGAGGUAUGAACAGCAAAAGGCAGUAGUCCUGCCUGAAGCACUCCAUGAUUGGACUCAUCUCCGCCUUCAGGAUUUCAAGUCCAUUGGUGAGUACAAUCAUGCUGUUCAUAAGAUAUGUUCCAAACUGCGUUUUUGUGAGAAGGAACCUACUCAGGGGGAGAUGAUAGAGAAAAAUUUAUCUACUAUGCUCCCUUCUGAUAGGAUCCUCCAACAGCAAUACCGUGCUCGCAACUACACUGUCUACUCCGAGCUUAUUCACAUGUUACUUCAGGCUGGAAAGCAUGAUGAGCUACUCGCUAAGAAUGGCUCUCAGCGCCCAGUUGGGGCACAACCUUUACCUGAAGUUCAUCUGAAUGUCGCGAAUAGACAGAAGUUUAAUGGUACCUUUCGAGGUAAACAUUCCAAUUCUAAGCACAAGCACAAGCGCAAUGGGAACAGAAAAUUCAGAAACAUGGGCAAGGGCAAAGGCACUGCAAAGCCAAAGUUCGAUAAAACUAAACUUUGCAACAAGUGUGGAUGCUACUCGCAUUCUACUAAAAAGUGCUCAAUGCCCAAGCAUCUGGUCAUGCUGUACCAGCAAUCUCAGGGAUGCAAAGCACCUCAAGGGAAAAGGCUUGAAGCUAACUUCAACCUACAUCCGCAUAGCGCAAAUGGAGCUGGCGAUUCACAGGAUAUUCCUCCUAGACCAAGCAACGCCAAGAUUCCUUAUCCUCUUGAGGACCCUGCUGAAACGGAGGCCAUGUUACUUGAGUACACCUCAAACGAUGUGUUUGGCGACUUUGACUAGUCCCUCGACCUCCUUGGUGAUCUAUUUAACUAUGUCCAUUUGUGAUGAUUGUAAUAAGAACAUAAGUUUGUUGUUGUCUUUAUAUUGUAUUGUAUCAGCGCAUUUGAUAUAAUAAAGAUUGUAUUCUAUGUAUUAACAUACGGUUUUCUUAUUGAAAAUUCUUUCGUUUUUAUAUAGUUUUUCUACAGGGACAAUCCGAUGGAAGAGGAAUUAUGCCUUGUGGACAGUGGUACCACAAACUCCAUACUAAGGGAGAUAAAAUAUUUCCAAACUCUGAAAAAGAUGAAUGGAGAUAUUCUAACUAUCGCUGGACGCGAUACAGUGAUUGUUGGUACUGGAGGUGCCAUAUUCACACUCCCAAGUGGUACACAAGUGACGAUAAAGGAUGCUUUAUUGUAUCCUGACUCAUCACGUACCCUGAUCAGUUAUCGAGAUAUCCGUAAGAAUGGUUUUCAUAUUGAAACCCAUGAAGACAACAAAGAGGAGUAUUUACUCUUUACUAAAGAUCACGGAUAUGGCAAAAAGGUACAUGAGAAAAUUCCUUCUUUAUCGUCUGGUUUGUACUAUACGUACAUCAAACCCGUGGAACAUGUUGCAUACAAAGUAAUUUUUCAGAAUGUUGACGCAUUCCAAACCUGGCAUGAUCGCCUGGGCCAUCCCGGAAUCGGGAUGAUGAGAAAAAUUACUAGCAAUUCCAUUGGUCAUAAUUUGCUUGAGUCAAAAUUUCCUCAAUCUUCUGAUUUUGUGUGCACAUCUUGUGCCACGGGAAAGCUAAUUUUGAGGCCCUCGCACCUCAAAAUACAAGCUGAACCACUUCAAUUCCUUGAACGUAUUCAAGGAGAUAUUUGUGGUCCCAUUCAGCCAUUAUCUGGACCUUUUCGGUAUUUCAUGGUUCUGAUUGACGCAUCUACACGAUGGUCACACGUGUGCCUUCUAUCCACAAGAAACCAUGCAUUUGCCAAGAUAAUGAGGCAAGUCAUUAAGUUACAAGCCCAUUAUCCUGAAAGUCGAAUUAAGACAAUUCGAAUGGACAACGCUGCAGAAUUCUCCUCACGUGCUUUCAAUGAUUAUUGCAUGGCUUUGGGGAUUGAAGUUCAGCACUCUGUUCCAUAUGUCCAUACACAAAAUGGUUUGGCUGAAGCAUUGAUUAAGAGGAUUAAACUCAUUGCAAGACCUUUGUUGAUGAAUUGCAACUUGCCAACCUCUUGUUGGGGUCAUGCAGUUUUACACGCUGCUGACUUGAUACAAUUGAGGCCAACUGCAUAUCACAGUUCUUCCCCUCUGGAAUUGGUACGUGGAAAUCCUCCUAGCAUUUCCCAUCUGCGUAAGUUCGGAUGUGCUGCAUACAUCCCGAUCUCACCACCACAGCGGACAUCUAUGGGCCCACACAGAAAGUUGGGGAUCUACGUGGGGUACAAAUCACCGUCGAUUAUCAAGUACCUGGAACCCCUAACUGGGGAUCUGUUCACAGCCCGUCACGCUGAUUGCAUAUUUAAUGAGGAACAUUUUCCGGCAUUAGGGGGAGAUUUCAAGUACCAGAAAGAAUGCCCGGAAAUUGAUUGGAAUGCACAUACCAUUUCAUCCUCUGAUCCACGUACCCAUGAGACCGAACUUCAAGUUCGGAAGAUCAUUAAUUUGCAACAUCUUGCAAAUAAUCUGCCAGAUUCAUUUACUGAUUUAAAAGGUGUUACAAAAUCCUUAAAUCCGGCCAGAAACGCGCCAGAAAGAGUGGAGGUACCAAUAAAAACCACUCAACUCCCUGUUCCUAAAAAGAGGGGGAGUAGUAUGGCUUCUGACCUGGAGCUAGCUUCUAGCAAGCAGCAAAGGAAAUCGAGGAAAAAAUCCUCGGAGUCAGUAAAUGCAGGUCAACUCAACGUUGACAAACACCUGAUGGGUAGUUCAGACCCAGUGGAAGGGCAACCUUCACAACCCAGCCCCAGUGUGCACAAACUAGCUGGAACAUCGGAACACCUAGACUCAACCGUAUUGGGAAAUCACGAAGAGUCUCUAGGGGUGCAGGAAAUUUCCAUCAACUAUGUUGAUUCUGGAGAAUCAUUUGACCGUAAGACUACGACUGUCGACAUAUAUUUUGCUGAAAAGAUUACAGAUACCCUUCUCACUCAUCAUGAUCCAAGGUCUAUCGUCGAGUGCCAAAGGCGCUCCGACUGGCCUAAAUGGAAGGAUGCAAUCCAAGUAGAAAUUGUCUCGCUUAACAAAAGGAAGGUAUUCACUGAAGCAAUACCUACACCUCCCAAUGUUUUCCCCGUGGGAUUCAAAUGGGUUUUCCUCCGGAAACGGAAUGAGAACAAUGAGGUGGUGAGAUAUAAAGCAAGGCUCGUAGCACAAGGUUUUACGCAGAAACCCGGCAUUGAUUUCAAUGAAACAUACUCUCCAGUAAUGAGUGGAACCACUUUCCGAUAUCUUAUAUCUAUGGCAGUGCAAAAUCGUCUAUCUAUGCAGUUGAUGGACGUCGUGACCGCAUAUCUUUACGGGUCACUAGAUUCGGACAUACAUAUGAAGGUUCCUGACGGAAUCUUCGUCCCGAAUAACAAUGCAAAACGCAACAUGUAUUGUGUAAAGCUGAAUAAGUCAUUGUAUGGCUUAAAACAGUCGGGGCAGAUGUGGUACAACCGACUAAGUGAGUUCCUUCUUCAGAAAGGUUACUCCAAUAGUGAUGAUUGCCCAUGUGUCUUCAUCAAGAAGUCCUCUACAGGAUUUUGCAUCAUUUCUGUAUAUGUUGAUGAUCUCAACAUCAUUGGCAGUGCACCAGACAUUGAUGAAGCACGCAAUCACCUAAAGAUGGAAUUUGAGAUGAAGGAUUUGGGUAAAACCAAAUUUUGCUUAGGUAUUCAACUUGAACACCUUCCCUCAGGAAUCAUGAUACACCAAGCUGCCUAUAUCCAGAAAAUAUUGGAGAAAUUCAAUAUGGAUAAAUCCUAUCCAUCUAAAACUCCUAUGAUGGUUCGAUCUCUAGACGUAGAGAAAGACCCGUUCAGACCGAGGGAUGAUCGAGAAGAGGUGUUGGGACCUGAAGUUCCAUAUCUCAGUGCAGUUGGAGCACUUAUGUAUCUUACAAAUUGCACAAGACCUGAUAUUGCAUUUGCAGUGAAUCUACUUGCUAGACACAGCGCAGCUCCCACCAAACGACAUUGGUCUGGAGUAAAGAAUAUCUUUCGAUAUCUCCAAGGCACAAAGGAUCUUGGCCUAUUUUUUCAGUUCCAACAAAAUCUGGACUCUGAUAUGAUUGGGUAUGCAGAUGCCGGUUAUUUGUCUGAUCCCCAUAAUGCCAGAUCUCAGACCGGUUUUGUGUUCCUCCAUGGUGGUACAGCUAUAUCAUGGAAGUCUUUCAAACAGACUCUAGUGGCUACAUCUACCAAUCAUUCUGAAAUAAUUUCAAUAUCUGAAGCGUCAUGUGAAUAUGUAUGGCUUCGCAGAAUGAUAAACCACAUACAACAAUCAUGUGGAAUUGGUUCUAUUGAAUCACCCACCAUUAUCUAUGAGGAUAAUGCGGCACGCGUUGCACAGAUGCAGACAGAAUAUAUCAAGAGCAAUAGCACUAAGCAUAUUUCUCCUAAAUGAUUUUUCCCCCACAAUCUUCAGAAAAGCGGGGAAAUAAGCAUUCCACAAGUCAAAUCAUGUGACAACCUUGCUAAUUUGUUUACUAAGUCUCUACCAAACUCAACAUUCCAGAAAUAUAUUCACGGAAUUGGUAUGCGACGACUUAGAGACUUGCAGGCAACAGGGGGAGUUUCUUUUUAAGAUAUCCUUGUUCAAAUAACAUCACAUUCUGCUAUCUCUUUGAGUUUACAUUUCAGGUUCUCAUCAAAGUCUUUAUGAAGAACUUUUGAAGAGGAGUUUUUGAGAUGAUAAAGCUUCCUGGACAAUCAUGAAGAUAACUCCACAUGGUCAAGUGUAGAUUAGGGGGAGUGUUAAAACUAAUUAUGUAAUUAGGGGGAAAUCUCCCCUUAACCAACCGUCAAGCGAUUUCCUCCCGCAACGACGGUUCUCUCUCCCAACGACGGUUCUCUCUCCGUCUCUCCGGGAACCGACGCAUCCCUUCCAAUUGCGUCUCCUCCCGUUGUAUAAAAGGGCAGAUCUCUGUCAUCAUUGAAUAAGAAUCUGGAUUACUUACAACAGGCGCAUAACGAUAGCAUAGCCGACUGUUUCAAUGGCAUCAUUGUUGCAUCAUAAUCGCACAAAUCAAGUGCACAUAGCAUGGUCGGGCUGGAUGCAUUGAUCAGGCUUUCCAGAAAUAACUUCAAAUAUGACAGAUGGUUAUCUAACUCAUAGUCUGAGUAUACCGUCCUUGCAUGUGUUCUGAUUACAUCCCUGCUUGAGGUACAUGACUAACACGAUGGUAUAUGGGUCCCUAGAGACACAAAAUCCUGCUGCAUUUUUUAAAUGAAAAAGUCUGAACAAUAUGGCCAUCGAAUUCUCAAGAAUCAAGAUUUGGACAAAGCUAAUAUGCUUAGAAGACAAGAAUGAUACUUCACAGUUUUGUAUGCAUGAAAUCAGUAUUUCAUCCUCCCUAAUGAUAUGAGUGAUUAUAUGGGCACAACAAUAAGGGCAGUACUUUGAUUCAUGUAGUUUUGGGGACAUGUUUUUUUUCUUGACAUACACAUGUUUUUUUUUAUCGGAAAGGCAGAUGCUCUGCCUUUUCAUUAAAGUAAAUAGAAAACUGUACACACUGAGAUAACCUCAGCAAGAAAAUCGAAAGAAAGUGGUCCGAUGCUGCACAAAACAGCCCGGCUGUACAUGCCUCACAAGACUACUUCCUGGCCUCCAUAAGGAGGCCUAUAUCAUCUCUAAUGAGCAAGCAAACCCCCUCAGCUGACUUCUGCUCAUUUCGAAAGAUACGUCUGUUACUCUCCUUCCAAAUCUUCCAAGCCACAUAGAUCGCUGCCACACAUUCAUCUACCCCCCUCCUUUUUUGCUUGAGCAACAAGGUUUUGUCCCACCAAUCAUUAAUCGAAGUGGCAUGUGUUAGGUUGAUCUCUCCGCGUGGGCCCAACGGCCCACAGGACCCUUGAUCUAUAUGCGCCCCGAUCGGGGGUCGUCCAACCCGUUAUGGUUGGUCGGCCCCUGUGACCCGCGCUAUAUAAACAGAGGUGGGGCCGGGGCACGACUUACGACAUCCGUCGCCCCCACACUCCCCACCUACACGCCCUACCGAUAUAGGCUUGUGCGGUGCUCACGCUAUAUAAACAGAGGUGGGGCCGGGGCACGACUUACGACAUCCGUCGCCCCCACACUCCCCACCUACACGCCCUACCGAUAUAGGCUAAGUUUUUUCAGAAAAAGCAAAGUUCAUGGAUUUUAUAAAAGGGUUAAUAAAGUUCAUGAAUUUUCAUUUUCAACAAAGUAAUUUUUCUGUAAAGUAGAAAAGUACAUGAAUUUUAUAUUCACGUUUUCCGCUGCAAAGUGAUUUAAUAGUGCUCUUUUACGAAGUAAAUAAAAGUUUAGAUAGAAUAAACUUUAAGAGCAUAUUAAAGUGAUUGUUGAAAUAAAUAUGGUUAUGUUAUUUUUCUGACCAACGUUGUUAAUAACAUGAUUAUGUUGCAUUAUUGGCAUUAAAGAUGCAUUUAUUUAUAUUAUUUGUCUAACGGUAAUAUAGAUUUAUUUGCAUAGACAAUUGUAUGUUUAAUUUGACCAACGUUAGAUUAAUGCAUAUAAUUGUUAUACUGAUCUCGCUUAAAUUGUGAUUUCAGGAGGCUCCCACCUGAUGAGUUGCCUAAAGGACGUUCCUACACUCACACGUGAGAAUUACACUGAGUGGAGGAAGAAAGUUUGUAAGUGCAUCUAGUGCCCUUAGUGAUUUUGAUGGUUUGAAGACUUAUAGGUUAAGUAUCUAAUGUGUUCAUGAAUGUACACAGAAUCUAUAAGUCGAUGAGGAGUUUGAGUUAUACGAUGAAUAUCGACCCCUAAAAAUGUAUAUCUUCGGCUGAAGAAAUUGGUCUGAUGCUGAAGAUUUGGAUCGUGAAUAAAUUGCGAUGAAAUUGAUAUUCCUCAUAAAGAUAUUGAAGAUGAGGAAUUCAAAGUGUCGUGAAGAAAAUCAGUUUGAAGACUUUGAAGCAUGAAGAUUUAUUCUUUCUGUUUUAUUUUCUUCACUCUUGAGUCAUAGGAACACCGUACUAUUAAAGGGGGUCGAGAUAACACUUUGGAAUGAAUUUCCUCAUGAUGCUCAACCCAAGCCUAAUCCUACCAAAAGCCUCAAGUGAGGAAUAUGAGAGACAUGAG